rnacentral:miRNA from 1 species
ACCCCGCCUGCUCGGCGCGGCGGCGGCGGCGGCUGGGCAGCGGUGCUCCUGCCCCUCCGCCACCUCCCCCGCAGCCUCU